rnacentral:rRNA from 1 species
UACAGAGGGUGCAAGCGUUGUUCGGAAUUAUUGGGCGUAAAGAGCUCGUAGGCGGUCUGUCGCGUCUGCUGUGAAAACCUAGGGCUUAACUCUGGGCGUGACAGUGGGUUACGGGCAGGCUAGAGUGCGGUAGGGGAGACUGGAAUUCCUGGUGUAGCGGUGAAAUGCGCAGAUAUCAGGAGGAACACCGGUGGCGAAGGCGGGUCUCUGGGCCGUAACUGACGCUGAGGAGCGAAAGCAUGGGGAGCGAACAGG